ACGUAGGGGGCAAGCGUUAUCCGGAAUUAUUGGGCGUAAAGAGUGCGUAGGUGGUUUUUUAAGCGUGAGGUGAAAGGCAAUAGCUUAACUAUUGUAAGCCUUGCGAACUGGAAGACUUGAGUGCAGGAGAGGAAAGUGGAAUUCCUAGUGUAGCGGUGAAAUGCAUAGAUAUGAGGAGGAACACCGAUGGCGAAGGCAGCUGGCUGGACAGUAACUGACGCUGAGGCACGAAAGUGUGGGGAGCAAACAG
rnacentral:rRNA from 1 species